rnacentral:rRNA from 1 species
UUCGGUGAUGACGCUGGGAACGCGAGCGGCGGAUGGGUGAGUAACACGUGGGUAACCUGCCCUAAAGUCUGGGAUACCACUUGGAAACAGGUGCUAAUACCGGAUAACAACAAUAGCUGCAUGGCUAUUGCUUAAAAGGCGGCGAAAGCUGUCGCUAAAGGAUGGACCCGCGGUGCAUUAGCUAGUUGGUAAGGUAAUGGCUUACCAAGGCGACGAUGCAUAGCCGAGUUGAGAGACUGAUCGGCCACAUUGGGACUGAGACACGGCCCAAACUCCUACGGGAGGCAGCAGUAGGGAAUCUUCCACAAUGGGCGAAAGCCUGAUGGAGCAACGCCGCGUGAGUGAAGAAGGUUUUCGGAUCGUAAAGCUCUGUUGUUGGUGAAGAAGGAUAGAGGUAGUAACUGGCCCCUAUUUGACGGUAAUCAACCAGAAAGUCACGGCUAACUACGUGCCAGCAGCCGCGGUAAUACGUAGGUGGCAAGCGUUGUCCGGAUUUAUUGGGCGUAAAGCGAGCGCAGGCGGAAAGAUAAGUCUGAUGUGAAAGCCCCCGGCUUAACCGAGGAAUUGCAUCGGAAACUGUGUUUCUUGAGUGCAGAAGAGGAGAGUGGAACUCCAUGUGUAGCGGUGGAAUGCGUAGAUAUAUGGAAGAACACCAGUGGCGAAGGCGGCUCUCUGGUCUG